UACGUAGGCAGCAAGCGUUGUUCGGAGUUACUGGGCGUAAAGGGUGCGUAGGCUGCUUUUUAAGUCUGAUGUGAAAGCCCACGGCUCAACCGUGGAGGGUCAUUGGAAACUGGGGGACUUGAGUACAGAAGAGGAAAGCGGAAUUCCACGUGUAGCGGUGAAAUGCGUAGAGAUGUGGAGGAACACCAGUGGCGAAGGCGGCUUUCUGGUCUGUAACUGACGCUGAGGCGCGAAAGCGUGGGGAGCAAACAGG
rnacentral:rRNA from 1 species